rnacentral:rRNA from 1 species
UAGGGAAUCUUCCACAAUGGACGCAAGUCUGAUGGAGCAACGCCGCGUGAGUGAAGAAGGUCUUCGGAUCGUAAAACUCUGUUGUUAGAGAAGAACACGAGUGAGAGUAACUGUUCAUUCGAUUGACGGUAAUCUAACCAGCAAGUCACGGCUAACUACGUACCAG